UACAAAUUUCGAACAAAAAAAUUACCAUUUUGGAGUCCGUGAAUUUGAAACCCAUCUUAUCGUGUCCCCCAUAUAUCCCUUCAUCAAUUUUGCUAGAAAACGAAGAUGAUUAGUUAAAUCCGACCAAUGUAUAUCUAAAAAUGCAUACCCCUCAAAACGACGAAUUAUCCCACCCUCAAGCAAAAUGACCGCCUCCCUCUCAAUGAGAAUCCUCCGACCAAACUAAGGCCACAACACAAUCCCAGAUGCCUCUUGAACACGUUAAUCGUGUUAUAAAUCACAACUUUGAAAAAAGCAGUCCUUAGGAAGGCGAAAUUCGGAACACUAAAACUAUCCAAUGUUGUAAACAAAAAACUAACAGUCGGAGGCUGUUUGAGGGUCAUGUUGGGAGUAAAAAUUCCGAAUUUGUCGUCACGUUGGAGGGGGCACUCUGCUGCAUUCAAAACUGCAACUGGAUAAAAAUAAUUUAUUGCAUAAAGGACCGGAAGCAUGUUUCAAACUAUGGGUCUGAGAAGAAGGAAAAGUUGUUUGACUGAUUCCUGGUGGUUUGUACAUUGACGGCCCGUGGAGUGCUAGCAUUGAUACUGUCUGGUAUAAUGUGAAAAUAAAGUCGAAGUACUUCAUGGACAAUGUUCGACAUAAGUUUUUGGAUCUCGAAAUUGCUUAAAAGUACCUUUGGGGAGCUCGACAAAGUUUGCAGUCGUCACAACACAACAUUUUUAUAUAUUGCGGAGUUUACCCAUUAUGACGCCCAAGAUUUAAACAAAAAAAUCGGAGUGACCACGACAUCUUAUUCCGAGGUCCAUAUUCAGUAAUCUGGAACCGGUCAGAUGGAUUUUUUCGGGUUUGGAUGCCUGAAACAAAGCAUUUUCAAGAAGAAGUCAUGAACUUUGGUUGGGCUUUGGAAAGUUCUAAAUCAAGAAUGGGAUCUUAUCUCCCCUGAAAUGUGUCAAAAUGUGUUUGGAAGUUAUAAACCAAGACUCAGACUUGUUGCUAAGAUGAAUGGAGAACACAUUGAGAUCGCUAAAGUAAUUCACAGUCAUCGUGUUCAGAAGUUAUAAGGUAAGUCAUACUGUUCAUAUAAACUGCGGACACCCUCUGUAUGUAUGAUCUCAUUUGUCAGUCACAGCUUUCAUAUGACUGACAUUCUCCGUCCUGUCAAAAUCAUAAUAUAUACCUGGCAAUUUGUAUUGUGAUUCAUUCAUGUGUGUACGUAUUUAACGACCUCGUGGUAUUAUGAUGGGCAGAGUUGAACGUUUUUUUGACAAGUGAAAGUAAUUAACAUUAAUUUGCUUGCUUAUUAAUUAGUACGUGUUAAUUAUACUACAUGAGGUUGGAGAUCAUUAAUCAAAUCGUAUUUAUCUUGCAAGUCCAAGGUCUGCAAAAAUACUAAUCUUGAUAAAAAAGGUCAAGAACAAAGUUCAUAAUCCAACAAAUCAAUCCCGUCUCAGCAGUGUUUCGGAUGGGAGUAACCACUUGCACGAAAUCAUCGAAAGAAAGUGGUUUCUUGCAGCUAUGCAAAUAUUUUGACCUGCACGAAAUGCAGGUCUUGCAACUUGCAAUUCUUGCGAUUCUUGCUUUGCAGUGCACGAAAUGUGACUUUCUCCCGCAAGAAACGAAACACUGAUCUUCGCAAAUAAAUGACAACGAAAUGCUGAAAUGCACGUUUAUAAAUACCACUCAACCCGAAGACCUAAAAAAAUACUUCGAAAUCAUUAAAAGUCUAAGAGUGUCAUAAAUGUGCAUAAAUUAUAAUGACUGAUUUCUCUCCAAUGCCGACUGACUAAAAUAAAUAAAUCGUGUUUAUG